rnacentral:tRNA from 2 species
GCCGGGGUAGCUCAGCCUGGUUAGAGUGCCAGUCUUCUAUCCCUCCGAUAAAAGGGCAUUACUCAUAAUCUGGAGGUCGUGGGUUCAAAACCCACCCCCGGCA